rnacentral:rRNA from 1 species
UACAGAGGGGGCAAGCGUUGUUCGGAAUUACUGGGCUUAAAGGGCGCGUAGGCGGCCAUGUUAGUCUCGGGUGAAAUCUUUCGGCUCAACCGGAAACGUGCCUGGGAUACUGCAUGGCUGGAGGGAGGUAGGGGCGGACGGAACUUCCGGUGGAGCGGUGAAAUGCGUUGAUAUCGGAAGGAACGCCGGUGGCGAAAGCGGUCGCUGGACCUCUACUGACGCUGAGGCGCGAAAGCCAGGGGAGCAAACGGG